rnacentral:misc_RNA from 1 species
AGAGAGCAAAAAACUAGUACACGAACAUGAUCAUGAACUAUAUCAAAAAAAAGCUAUGAUUCAUAAGAAACAACAGCUGAAAACUCUUCCUCCCUCAAAAAUCUUUGUUGUCUUGCAAUGAAAUUCUCAACAGUUUUCUUGAAUUCUUCAUUGCUCAUCUCGUCUUCUGGAUACGAGGUUGUUGUCUUUGUCAUAAUUGGUUUUAUACUGUCAGUGUUUAUAACUUUUCGGGAUCUUAAUGUAGCUGAUCGUGUCAAUUUUUUUCUAGGUUUUUUCUCAUCAAGGGAUAAAGAUAGAGAGUUGUCCGAAUG